AUUGAACGCUGGCGGCAUGCUUUACACAUGCAAGUCGAACGGUAACAGGCCGCAAGGUGCUGACGAGUGGCGAACGGGUGAGUAAUGCAUCGGAACGUGCCCAGUCGUGGGGGAGAACGCCGCGAAAGCUGUGCUAAGACCGCAUACGAUCUAUGGAUGAAAGCGGGGGACCGGAAGGCCUCGCGCGAUUGGAGCGGCCGAUGUCAGAUUAGGUAGUGGGUGGGGUAAAGGCUCACCAAGCCGACGCUCUGUAGCUGGUCUGAGAGGACGACCAGCCACACUGGGACUGAGACACGGCCCAGACUCCUACGGGAGGCAGCAGUGGGGAAUUUUGGACAAUGGGCGCAAGCCUGACCCAGCAAUGCCGCGUGCAGGAAGAAGGCCUUCGGGUUGUAAACUGCUUUUGUACGGAACGAAAAGGCUCUGGUUAAUACCUGGGGCUCAUGACGGUACCGUAAGAAUAAGCACCGGCUAACUACGUGCCAGCCGCCGCCGUAA
rnacentral:rRNA from 1 species